rnacentral:rRNA from 1 species
UACAGAGACUGCAAGCGUUAUUCGGAUUCACUGGGCGUAAAGAGCGUGUAGGCGGCCAGAAAAGUCCGCUGUGAAAACUCGAGGCUCAACUUCGAGCUGUCGGUGGAAACUUUCUGGCUUGAGUCCGGAAGAGGAGAAUGGAAUUCCUGGUGUAGCGGUGAAAUGCGCAGAUAUCAGGAAGAACACCCGUGGCGAAGGCGGUUCUCUGGGACGGUACUGACGCUGAGACGCGAAAGCGUGGGGAGCGAACAGG